CCUACGGGUGGCUGCAGUGGGGAAUAUUGGUCAAUGGCCGGAAGUCUGAACCAGCGAAGUCGCGUGAGGGACGACUGCCCUAUGGGUUGUAAGCCUCUUUUAUAAGGAAGAAAUAAAUGCUACGUAUAUCCUGAUGCUUUACCUUUUUAAGCAGCAUCAGCUAACUCCGUUCCAGCAGCAGCGGUAAUGCGGAGGAUGCGAGAGUGAUCAUGAUUUAUUGGGUUUAAAGGGUGCGUAGGCGGUUUUUUAGGUUAGUGGUUAAAAGGCGGGGCUUCAACUUGAUUUGCCAUUAAUACUGUAAGACUAGAGUUAAGACGAGGUAGGCGGAAUAAGUGAAGUAGCGGUGAAAUGCUUAGAUAUAACUUAGAACUCCGAUAGCGAAGGCAGCUUACCAGAUUGCGACUGACGCUGAAGCACGAGAGCGUGGGUAGCGAACAGGAUUAGAUACCCCUGUAGUC
rnacentral:rRNA from 1 species